GAGGCGGUUGAGUGAGACGAGACGCGCCCCUCCCACGCGGGGAAGGGCGCCCGCCUGGUCCGGCGAGCGCACGUCCGGUGCUCCCCUCUGGCGGAAAUACUAGGCUUUAGAAUUUCACCAUAUGAAUUUUGGGAGAGAGGAGCACAGUUCAGCCCAUAACUAACACACGCAAGACAAAUCUCUCCUCUGCCUUCUCCUUAUCAGACUACUCAACAUGAAGGCAAUAAGAAUGAAGACCUCUAUGUAUAAUAAUUGACUUCCACUUAAUAAAUAAGGUUACUUGGUACACUGGUCGACAAAACCUUGAAAUGUUGAUGUUUAAGGGCUGUUGAUUGCUGGCAGCAAAGAAGUCCAACUGUGCUGGUACCCGAGAUAGCGUCUCCACAUUUUCUUCCAGGAUCAUCACCUUUGUUCUAAAUAGCUCCCACAUAGUGUGAACAGAAGUCAUAUGUUUUAGAUUUUCUGCCUUGGCA
rnacentral:lncRNA from 1 species